rnacentral:lncRNA from 1 species
UACGGGCAAAAGAGAGAGAGAGAAGAGCGCGAGAGGAAACGAGAGGCGAGGGAGCGAGAGAAAGCGAGGAAGCGAGAGAGAGCGAGAAACAGAGAUAGCGAGAGGGGCUGUGCGGGAGAGAGAAGUGUGGUAGGAUUUAAUUUAGGUUAGCUUUAGUAAAAAGUAAAAAAGGGGUGAGGUUAGAAGCUACUGUGCUAGUGGGUUA